rnacentral:rRNA from 1 species
UAGGGAAUAUUGCAAAAUGGGCGAAAGCCCGAUGCAGCAACGCCGCGUGGGCGAUGAAGGCCUUCGGGUCGUAAAGCCCUUUUUGAGGGGAUGAGGAAGGACAGUACCCUCAGAAUAAGCCUCGGCUAACUACGUGCCAGCAGCCGCGGUAAAACGUAGGAGGCGAGCGUUAUCCGGAUUUACUGGGCGUAAAGCGCGUGCAGGCGGAUUGGAGAGUUGGAUGUGAAAGCUCCCGGCUUAACUGGGAGAGGUCGUUCAAUACUUCCAGUCUUGAGUGCAGUAGAGGGAAGUGGAAUUCCGGGUGUAGUGGUGAAAUGCGUAGAUAUCCGGAAGAACACCAGUGGCGAAAGCGGCUUCCUGGACUGUAACUGACGCUCAGACGCGAAAGCUAGGGUAGCAAACG